rnacentral:rRNA from 1 species
GGGUUGUGAGGUUAAGCGACUAAGCGUACACGGUGGAUGCCCUGGCAGUCAGAGGCGAUGAAGGGCGUGCUAAUCUGCGAUAAGCGCCGGUAAGGUGAUAUGAACCGUUAUAACCGGCGAUACCCGAAUGGGGAAACCCAGUGUGACUCGUCACACUAUCAUUAACUGAAUCCAUAGGUUAAUGAGGCGAACCGGGGGAACUGAAACAUCUAAGUACCCCGAGGAAAAGAAAUCAACCGAGAUUCCCCCAGUAGCGGCGAGCGAACGGGGAGGAGCCCAGAGCCUGAAUCAGCAUGUGUGUUAGUGGAAGCGUCUGGAAAGGCGCGCGAUACAGGGUGACAGCCCCGUACACAAAAGCGCAUGUGCUGUGAGCUCGAUGAGUAGGGCGGGACACGUGGUAUCCUGUCUGAAUAUGGGGGGACCAUCCUCCAAGGCUAAAUACUCCUGACUGACCGAUAGUGAACCAGUACCGUGAGGGAAAGGCGAAAAGAACCCCGGCGAGGGGAGUGAAAAAGAACCUGAAACCGUGUACGUACAAGCAGUGGGAGCCCCACCACCAAAGCAUUCUCUGGUGUUGAAGGCCCUGCAAAGCAGCAUCGCGGUGGCGGAGCGUCGUUUGCGACGCCCAACACACAAAACAAGCGGUGAGUGCUUUGGGGUGGGGUGACUGCGUACCUUUUGUAUAAUGGGUCAGCGACUUAUAUUCUGUAGCAAGGUUAACCGAAUAGGGGAGCCGUAGGGAAACCGAGUCUUAACCGGGCGUUAAGUUGCAGGGUAUAGACCCGAAACCCGGUGAUCUAGCCAUGGGCAGGUUGAAGGUUGGGUAACACUAACUGGAGGACCGAACCGACUAAUGUUGAAAAAUUAGCGGAUGACCUGUGGCUGGGGGUGAAAGGCCAAUCAAACCGGGAGAUAGCUGGUUCUCCCCGAAAGCUAUUUAGGUAGCGCCUCGUGAAUUCAUCUCCGGGGGUAGAGCACUGUUUCGGCUAGGGGGCCAUCCCGGCUUACCAACCCGAUGCAAACUGCGAAUACCGGAGAAUGUUAUCACGGGAGACACACGGCGGGUGCUAACGUCCGUCGUGAAGAGGGAAACAACCCAGACCGCCAGCUAAGGUCCCAAAGUCAUGGUUAAGUGGGAAACGAUGUGGGAAGGCCCAGACAGCCAGGAUGUUGGCUUAGAAGCAGCCAUCAUUUAAAGAAAGCGUAAUAGCUCACUGGUCGAGUCGGCCUGCGCGGAAGAUGUAACGGGGCUAAACCAUGCACCGAAGCUGCGGCAGCGACGCUGAUGCGUUGUUGGGUAGGGGAGCGUUCUGUAAGCCUGUGAAGGUGGCCUGUGAGGGUUGCUGGAGGUAUCAGAAGUGCGAAUGCUGACAUAAGUAACGAUAAAGCGGGUGAAAAGCCCGCUCGCCGGAAGACCAAGGGUUCCUGUCCAACGUUAAUCGGGGCAGGGUGAGUCGACCCCUAAGGCGAGGCCGAAAGGCGUAGUCGAUGGGAAACGGGUUAAUAUUCCCGUACUUGGUGUUACUGCGAAGGGGGGACGGAGAAGGCUAUGUUGGCCGGGCGACGGUUGUCCCGGUUUAAGCGUGUAGGUGUGUGUUCCAGGUAAAUCCGGUUCACUUUAACACUGAGGCGUGAUGACGAGGCACUACGGUGCUGAAGCAACAAAUGCCCUGCUUCCAGGAAAAGCCUCUAAGCAUCAGGUAACAUCAAAUCGUACCCCAAACCGACACAGGUGGUCAGGUAGAGAAUACCAAGGCGCUUGAGAGAACUCGGGUGAAGGAACUAGGCAAAAUGGUGCCGUAACUUCGGGAGAAGGCACGCUGACACGUAGGUGAAGUGAUUUACUCAUGGAGCUGAAGUCAGUCGAAGAUACCAGCUGGCUGCAACUGUUUAUUAAAAACACAGCACUGUGCAAACACGAAAGUGGACGUAUACGGUGUGACGCCUGCCCGGUGCCGGAAGGUUAAUUGAUGGGGUCAGCGCAAGCGAAGCUCCUGAUCGAAGCCCCGGUAAACGGCGGCCGUAACUAUAACGGUCCUAAGGUAGCGAAAUUCCUUGUCGGGUAAGUUCCGACCUGCACGAAUGGCGUAAUGAUGGCCAGGCUGUCUCCACCCGAGACUCAGUGAAAUUGAACUCGCUGUGAAGAUGCAGUGUACCCGCGGCAAGACGGAAAGACCCCGUGAACCUUUACUAUAGCUUGACACUGAACAUUGAGCCUUGAUGUGUAGGAUAGGUGGGAGGCUUUGAAGCGUGGACGCCAGUCUGCAUGGAGCCGGCCUUGAAAUACCACCCUUUAAUGUUUGAUGUUCUAACGUGGACCCGUGAUCCGGGUUGCGGACAGUGUCUGGUGGGUAGUUUGACUGGGGCGGUCUCCUCCUAAAGAGUAACGGAGGAGCACGAAGGUUGGCUAAUCCUGGUCGGACAUCAGGAGGUUAGUGCAAUGGCAUAAGCCAGCUUGACUGCGAGCGUGACGGCGCGAGCAGGUGCGAAAGCAGGUCAUAGUGAUCCGGUGGUUCUGAAUGGAAGGGCCAUCGCUCAACGGAUAAAAGGUACUCCGGGGAUAACAGGCUGAUACCGCCCAAGAGUUCAUAUCGACGGCGGUGUUUGGCACCUCGAUGUCGGCUCAUCACAUCCUGGGGCUGAAGUAGGUCCCAAGGGUAUGGCUGUUCGCCAUUUAAAGUGGUACGCGAGCUGGGUUUAGAACGUCGUGAGACAGUUCGGUCCCUAUCUGCCGUGGGCGCUGGAGAACUGAGGGGGGCUGCUCCUAGUACGAGAGGACCGGAGUGGACGCAUCACUGGUGUUCGGGUUGUCAUGCCAAUGGCACUGCCCGGUAGCUAAAUGCGGAAGAGAUAAGUGCUGAAAGCAUCUAAGCACGAAACUUGCCCCGAGAUGAGUUCUCCCUGAGACUUAGAGUCUCCUGAAGGAACGUUGAAGACGACGACGUUGAUAGGCCGGGUGUGUAAGCGCAGCGAUGCGUUGAGCUAACCGGUACUAAUGAACCGUGAGGCUUAACCUUACAACGCCGAAG